rnacentral:rRNA from 1 species
GACAUAGGUCGCAAACGUUAUCCGGAAUUAUUGGGCGUAAAGGAUGCGUAGAUGGUUCAGUAAGUUACUGGUGGGAAAUCGAGGCUCAACCUCGUGGAAGUCAGUAAUACUGUUGAACUUGAGUGCAGGAGAGGUUAACGGAACUUUAUGUGGAGCGGUAAAAUGCGUAGAUAUAUAAAAGAACAUCAAUAUGGCGAAGGCAGUUAACUAUUCUGUUACUGGAACAUUGAGGC